rnacentral:rRNA from 1 species
GAUGAACGCUGGCGGCGUGCCUAAUACAUGCAAGUAGAACGCUGAAGGAAGGAGCUUGCUCUUUCCGGAUGAGUUGCGAACGGGUGAGUAACGCGUAGGUAACCUGCCUGGUAGCGGGGGAUAACUAUUGGAAACGAUAGUUAAUACCGCAUAACAGUAGAUGUUGCAUGAUAUCUACUUAAAAGGUGCAAUUGCACCACUACCAGAUGGACCUGCGUUGUAUUAGCUAGUUGGUGAGGUAACGGCUCACCAAGGCGACGAUACAUAGCCGACCUGAGAGGGUGAUCGGCCACACUGGGACUGAGACACGGCCCAGACUCCUACGGGAGGCAGCAGUAGGGAAUCUUCGGCAAUGGACGGAAGUCUGACCGAGCAACGCCGCGUGAGUGAAGAAGGUUUUCGGAUCGUAAAGCUCUGUUGUAAGAGAAGAACGAGUGUGAGAGUGGAAAGUUCACACUGUGACGGUAUCUUACCAGAAAGGGACGGCUAACUACGUG